ACCUAUUUUCAUAAUCAAUUAGAUGAAAAAGAAAGUGGUCUAGCGCCUUCUAUUCCCUUUCCUGAAUACUUGGACACGAGUUGCCUUACUCGACUAUUAGAGUAUUCGUCAUCCAUUUAAAACAUCUUAACUAUUAUCAAACCCUUUUAUAAUUAAGGAUGAAAAGGGAGAUGGUCUAGAGCCUUCGAUUCCUCUCCUCGACUAUUUGGAUACGAGUUACCUUACUCGACUAUCCGAGUAAUCAUCAUUCAACAAAAU
rnacentral:lncRNA from 1 species